AGAGAAAUAUAAAGAAUUCUUUACCAUCGUCCAGCUAGCUCUACAUAGAAAUCCCAUCCUUAUCUUUUUGCAGUACAUACAACAACAGAGAUGUACUGUGUAAUGAUAUCUAUUUCUAUUAUAUAUGUGUAUGUAUCUGUAUGUAUAUAUAUAAAUCUUUCUCUCUCUAAAAGGGUAGAUUCUCUCCCUUCAACUCCUCUUGAUUUCCAUUUUCCAGAUCUUUUGUAGAAAAGGUUGCCUUUAUUUGGUGGUAGUUUUUCACCCAACUUCCCCAAAUCGAUCCAUUUAAUGCUCCAUCCUUACUUGAAGAACUCUUUCUUCCCCAUUUUCUACCCCACUGUAUCAUCACCACCAUUUUUCUGAACCCCCACUUUUUUAAUUUCGAGGUUUUUUGGUGAUGGCGAAAAUUGGGGAAUCGAUUCGGGGAUUGAAAUUUGGUGACUGGGAUUUUGCAAAAUUUUCUGUUGAUUUAGUGAUUUGAUUGCGAAUUUCUUUUAGCUCGAUUGAAUUUCUAGGGUUUUGGAUUGGGAAUUGGGAUCGAUUGAAUCGCCAAAAUUAGGGUGUCAGGCAUUAUCACAGAGAUCUUAAUUGCUUCUGAUAUGGCUUUGAUGAUCGAUUUACGAGCUCUUUACAUCAUAAUUUUGUGUAAUCUUUAGUUUAGUUCUCCUAUCCUUUGUAAUAAUAAACCCUAAUUGCUCAUACCUUUAAUCUUCGAUUGAAUUUUGGGGGAUUUCAACAUUCCCAUUGAUUGCCUGUGGAAAAUCGUGUUGUGAAAAAAGAUGGAUAACAAUGGCGGAGAUGAUUGGAGGGAGAUGGUGAGGAAAAUGCUUCCUCCGGGGGCUCCGAUCCCCGACGACGGCGAUAAGUUGGAUUAUUCGAUAGCAUUAGAGUACAAAGGCCCGCCUGUAAUGUAUGAUCUGCCUAGAGUCGAGCCUCUUAACAUGAAUGUGGAUUCGAUUCCAGUAGCUGAUCCAAUAGUAGAGUCUAGAAGAUCGAUGAAUUCGGCUCCUGUAAUAGAACCAAUCCCUUUACCGAUGUCUCGUAUUGCGAAUGUAGCUAGUCCCGGCAAUCAGAGUCCUAGGAUGUCCGGAAGUUCGGAAUCGAUGGCUUCCGUAUUGCAGAAUGAUGGUUUCAGCUCGCCGUCGGGUUCGGGGUCGCCUGCCUCGGGGAAUGAUGAUCCAGGGGGGCCUAGGGGGCUGGCCGGAGAGGGAAAAAGAGCGACGGUGGUUACGUUCAAUACGACGUACAAUAGGGUCGAGAGGUCGGAGAGAAGAUCGAUGGAUGGAGAGAAGCAAGUAUUUCCGGAGUACGUCGGAGUGACGAAGGAGAAGAAGAAGAGGAAGAAGACGAGAGUGUGUUACAGGUGCGGAAAAGGGAAGUGGGAGAACAAAGAAGCGUGCCUCGUGUGCGACGCCAAGUAUUGUGGGAAUUGCGUGCUGCGGGCGAUGGGAUCGAUGCCGGAAGGGCGUAAAUGUGUGACGUGUAUCGGCGAGGCGAUUGACGAGUCGAAACGGUCGAAAUUGGGGAAAAAUUCGAGCUUGUUGUCGCGGCUGCUCAGCCCUUUGGAGGUCAAGCAAAUAAUGAACGCCGAGAAGGAAUGCUCGGCGAAUCAGCUUCGGCCGGAGCAGCUCGUCGUGAACGGGUACCCUUUGAAAUCGGAGGAAAUGGCGGAGCUUCUCGGGUGCCCGCUGCCGCCGAAGAAAUUGAAGCCGGGGAGGUAUUGGUACGAUAAAGAGUCGGGCCUUUGGGGGAAGGAGGGAGAGAAGCCCGAUAGAAUUAUUAGUUCGAACUUGAAUUUUACGGGAAAGCUUAGUCCCGACGCUAGCAAUGGGAAUACGGAGGUGUAUAUUAACGGUCGGCAGAUCACAAAACUUGAGUUGAGGAUACUAAAGCUUGCAAAUGUUCAAUGUCCACGUGACACCCAUUUUUGGGUUUACGACGAUGGUCGAUACGAGGAAGAAGGCCAAAACAACAUAAGAGGAAAUAUAUGGGAAAAGGCAUCCACUCGAUUCGUGUGCUCGUUGUUCUCUUUGCCUGUACCGCAAGGCCAACCUCAAGGGCAUAGGGACGAGGUGAGCAACUAUUCGGCUGUACCUAAUUAUCUGGAGCAGAGAAAGAUCCAGAAGCUUCUUUUGCUUGGGCUUCCGGGCUCCGGAACGAGCACGAUUUUCAAGCAGGCGAAGUUUUUGUACGGAGGACAAUUUACGCCCGAAGAGCUGCAGGACAUCAAACUUAUGAUUCAAAGCAACAUGUACAAAUACCUCAGCAUUCUUCUCGACGGGCGAGAACGUUUUGAGGAGGAGGCGUUGUCGAAAACCACUGGGCAAGGUCUCAACGAGCAUGUUUCUGAAUCAGAAGAGCGCGUCGACGCCGCGGAAGAUAAUCAUUGUAUCUUUUCUCUCAAUCCACGGCUGAAGCAUUUCUCCGAUUGGCUCCUUGAUAUCAUAGCAACCGGGGAUUUGGAUGCUUUCUUUCCUGCGGCAACGCGGGAAUACGCUCCGCUCGUUGAAGAGGUGUGGCGAGAUCCAGCUAUACAAGAAACGUACAAGAGGAAGAACGAACUCCAUUUUCUACCCGACGUUGCCGAAUACUUUUUGAGCCGGGCCGUUGAAAUAUCAAGCAACGAGUAUGAGCCCUCAGACCGCGAUAUACUGUACGCUGAAGGGGUCACACAAGGAAACGGCUUGGCUUUUAUGGAGUUCGCCAUGGAAGAUCGUAGCCCUAUGUCUGAAACCUACGGCGAAAAUCUCGAAUCUGCGCCGCCUCCGCUCACCAAGUACCAACUGAUCCGCAUCAACGCGAAGGGAAUGUCCGAAGGCUGCAAGUGGGUAGAAAUGUUCGAGGAUGUCCGAGUGGUAGUUUUCUGCGUCGCACUAAGCGACUACGACCAGGUGUGGGCGGCGGCAUCUCCCGACACCUCCUCGUCAUCUCCCGCAACCGAUUCAACGGUCAAGAACAAGAUGAUCCAAAACAAGGAACUCUUCGAGGCCGUGAUCAGACAGGCGUGUUUCAAGGACACGCUGUUUGUCCUAAUCCUAAACAAGUACGACCUCUUCGAAGAAAAGAUCGCCCGGGCCCCGCUAGGCGCGUGCGACUGGUUCUCCGACUUCAGCCCCGUCCGGCCCCACAACAACAACCAAUCCCUCGCCCAGCAGGCCUACUUCUACGUCGCCAUGAAGUUUAAGGAUGUCUAUGCCUCGCUCACCGGCCAGAAAUUGUUCGUGUGGCAGACCCGGGCGCGCGACCGGCCCACCGUCGACGAGGCGUUCCGAUACAUUCGGGAGGUGGUGAGAUGGGACGAUGAGAAGGAGGAGAAUUAUAUCGCGCCCACAGAGGACUCGUUUUAUAGCACCACCGACGUGAGCUCGCCGCCGCCGUAUCUCCGCCACGAGUAGCGGGAGAAGUUUACUAUGGUAUCAAUCAAAACCGGCAGCCACUUAAAUCUUGCAUACGCUUCUUUUUUCCAUGGAGGCUAGCCGCCGGGAAGUCAAAAUUGAGCGAUGUCAUCGGAACCCAAGCUUGCAACAAAUGUUGCAGGAAAAAAAGGAUGUCAAUUUGUUUUCGAGGAUGGAGGACUCGGGAAUUCAUCUCGAUCGGGUGACGUUUACUUUUUCUCUCGUGGCAUGUGUAUAUUUGGAUUUGGCGAUUAAAGGAUUGGAUUAGGUGAGCUUUGCGAGAUGUGUAUGGCGUCGUGCCCAGGAUCGAGCAUUUUGAAUGCAUUGUCAAUUUUUUUAAGCCGGGUGGGGCUUGUCGGAUAGGGAAAAAAAUUGAUUCAAAGGACGCCAUUGAAGUCGGAGGAGGCGGCGAGUUUGAGGGCAUUGAUGAGCGGGUGUUGUGGCGACAGGGAGGUGGUGGCGGAGCGGGUGUUGUGACAUUGGAACGGAAUAAUGAGACGUAUGUGUUAUCUUCCUAAUGUUUAUGCAGCGGUGGAGAGACACGGUCAGGCGCAGAGGGUUUGAAAGGCGAUGAGUUGGCAGAAUGUUGAGAAGACAUCGAGAUGUAGCUCGACAGAGUUAUUCAUGAUUUUGUUUCCAAGGAGAAGACGUAUUGUAAUGUGAAUCGAAGAAAUGAUGCUAUGACUCGCAGCAAAUAAAAUAGUCACGAAAAUGUGGACGUUGUGGUUGUCUAGGGCACAACAAAAGAAAUUGUAAAGCUGCGGUACUGUAGGCCUUUUGAAGUGUAAUUUUUGUUUUUGUUCUAAACGUCCUUUUUGGUGUGUAAUUACAUUUGGCAUAAUUG